UUAGCUGGACCAAUACUCCGUAUGAGAUAGUAUAUUGAAUAAAAUGAAAAUGAUAAUAUACCCAAUCGAUCUCCACACUCAAAUGAAAAUGAUAAUAUGAUGAUAGUAUUAAAACCUAAAAUCAGCACACUCCUAUCGAUCUCCACCCACCACCGUAUCUCAACACCACCGCAUCUCACAGUUCACAUCUCAGCACCACCGCAUCUCCUCACCAACAACAAAAGUUACAAUCGGUACAAAUUUUGACCCAAACUUUGGAGGAGAUGCAACCAAGGCAUGAGACUCAACAAAAGGAGAUUGACGAUAUGAAAAAGCGUGAAGAAAAGCAAAAAAAGGAACUCGAAGAACUAAAAGCAAAAAGUGAAGCCGAAUCACAAGAAGUGAAAGCCGUGAAGGCCGCCAUGAUGAAGUUCACCCGACGGGCUAAAUCUUAGGAUUUGUUAAAAAGUUGUUAGUUUGAAUUAUUUUCAAAACUUUACCUUUUAAAUGAUGUGUAUGAAUGUUUUGUUGAUGGAUGUAUCUUGAUUCUUAGGUAAUGAAUUAUCAUGCAUUUUAGUAGUUUGAUUA